UAGGGAAUCUUCCGCAAUGGACGAAAGUCUGACGGAGCGACGCCGCGUGAGCGAAGAAGGUCUUCGGAUCGUAAAGCUCUGUUGUUAGGGAAGAAGAAGUGCCGUUCGAACAGGGCGGCACGGUGACGGUACCUAACGAGAAAGCCCCGGCUAACUACGUGCCAGCAGCCGCGGUAAUACGUAGGGGGCGAGCGUUGUCCGGAAUUUUUGGGCGUAAAGCGCGCGCAGGCGGUCCCUUAAGUCUGAUGUGAAAGCCCACGGCUUAACCGUGGAGGGUCAUUGGAAACUGGGUGACUUGAGUGCAGAAGAGGAGAGCGGAAUUCCACGUGUAGCGGUGAAAUGCGUAGAGAUGUGGAGGAACACCAGUGGCGAAGGCGGCUCUCUGGUCUGUAACUGACGCUGAGGCGCGAAAGCGUGGGGAGCAAACAGG
rnacentral:rRNA from 1 species